UGUAUAGCCUGUCUGUAUAGCCUGCCUGUAUAGCCUGUCUGUAUAGCCUGUCUGUAUAGCCUGUCUGUAUAGCCUGUCUGUAUAGCCUGUCUGUAUAGCCUGCCUGUAUAGCCUGCCUGUACAGCCUUCCUGUAUAGCCUGUCUGUAUAGCCUGCCUGUAUAGCCUGCCUGUAUAGCCUGCCUGUAUAGCCUGCCUGUAUAGCCUGCCUGUAUAGCCUGCCUCUGCAUGUUUUGUAUGCAGUUAUGAAAACGGUUGGCGCUGCCAGUGAGUAGGGAAUGAGGAUUGUGUUGAAUAGUGUUAGGUCUCGUGUGUAGGUCUUGAUUUAAGGAGUGUUGUGAUUAUUACAGAGUUAUGUAAUCAGUGUAUGGUGUUGAUAAUACCUUAUUUGAAACCUAAAUCUUCACUGUACGUACUGUGUUUAUAAUGUCUUAUUUGCGGCUGUGAAAAGCAUAUCUCACACUCUUCUAACCCCACAGACCUUGAGAACCAUAUCAUUUUUACAAAUAAUAGACUUUAUUCUAUAAGAACCAGGUAGGACGAGUACAUUCAUAUGCAUUAGUUACUUUCCUGGAUAGAAGGUCAUCAUUCCUGAAUUAUUGUAUAGACGGGUUGGUUAGUAAAACCGAAGUGUGCAUAGCUAUGGGGCAAAACAGAUGGGGUUGGUUAGAAGAUUGUUGAUAUCAUGUCAACUAUACUUAGUCUCCAAUGUUUAUUGAAAACAAAUACAUUUGCACUUGUUGUUUCUCAAAUACAUCGUUAAAGUUGUUGGUUAGUUAACUAGCAAAUUUUUUCCAUAUUAGCAUUGACAUGAAACCAGUCAAAACACCUCAAAAUAAGACAUGGUAUCGAGAACAACAUAAAGCUACCUGAAACAAGUAACUGACCUGGUAUCGAGAACAACAUAAAGCUACCUGAAACAAGUAACUGUUUGCAAGCUAUCUGACCCAUCGAUACACACACAUCAUUUCAGUGACGUUGUCAGCCAACCCGUCUAUAUGAGGGACUUUAGUCUAGUGUACAGCAUGCAGGUAAGUGUCUGCGGAUGCCUUUGAUGUAAAUGUUUUAGUGGGCAGACGAAGGGAAUUUUUGAGUGUGCUGAGAUGAGAACAUUGCUGAUGAAAUUAGAAAGCGAGGUAGCGAGGUAGCGAUUGUGGCGUUGCCAUAUUUAGGACACUCUGUCCUCGAUAUCAUGAAUAUUAAUAUAAUACUUGUCUUUAUCAGUAGAGUUAUCAGCAUCACCAUCAUCACCAUCAUCAUCAUCAGCAGCAUUAGUCAGCUCCUUCAUCACCAUCAUCAUCAUCAUCAUCACCAUCAUCAUCAUCACCAUCAUCAUCAUCAUCAGCAGCAUUAGUCAGCACCUUCAUCAUCAUCCUCACAUUCAUCAUCACCAUCUUCAUCAGCAGCAGCAGCAGCCACAUCAGCAGUAUCAGCACCUUCAUCAUCAUCACCAUUAUUACCAUCAUCAUCAUCAUCAUCAUCAACAACAUCAUGUAAGUCUCAUGAUAUCAUGGAUUCCAAUCAUUACAGUAUUUCCGUCAAUAAUCUGCUAGCUAGAAGAACAUACACUUAACAUGUGGAUGUUAUAUUGGAGAGUGAAUCCUUAUUGGAAACCUAAUCAACCUCUGAGGUGGGUUCACAUGACAUUCUAUGGAUGAAUGUGACUUCCCUGUCUGAUGAGAUCACAGUGUAAAACACCUAUAAUUAACCUCUGAGGUGCGUUUACAGAUUACAUGCUGGAUGUUAGAAUGCUUAAAGUCCAAUCAAUUGUAGCCCAUUGGUUGGACUAUAGACAGUUGCAUAUUCUCAGUCGACAAUCUUGUUAUUUACCAAGAAUCCCAGUUGCAGAUUUAAGUGUUUAGUUUCUAACCGUCAAGCUUGUUUUCUCAUUGAAAGCAUUACAUAUUCUAUCUCUCUUGUCUAGUUUGUGCUCAGACAUUAAACACACAGGAAAUCAACUUUGGACACGAAGGAGAAUGGAAACAUGAAAUGAAGUCAAUCACUGCAUAUAGCAAGGCAGAAUAAUUCCACAAUGAUUCAGAAUGUACCUACAAUGUCUACAGUACCUUCAGAAAGUAUUCACACGCCUUUUUUCCACAUGUUAUUGUACUACACCCUACAUGUAAAAAUGAUUAAAUUGAGAUGUAAUGUCACUGGCCUACACACAAUACCCCAUACUGUCAAAGUGAACUUUUUUUAGACAUUUUUACAAAUUAUUUAAAAAUGAAAAGCUCAAAUGUCUUGAGUCAAUAAGUAUUCAACCCCUUUGUUAUGGCAAGCUAAAUAAGUUCAGGGCUAAAAAUGUGCAAGUCACAUAUUAAGUUGCAUGGACUCACUCAUGAAUUCACCAGGAGACCAAUGCUGUCUUUAAAACAGCUCAAUAGCUGAGACAAGGAGCCAAAAUCAACAACAUUGUAGUUACUCGUCAAUACUAAGCGAAUUGCUAGAGUGAAAAGAAGGAUCCAUGUCCAUUAUGUGCUUGCUUCCAUCUAGACACUAAAGUCAAACUGCAAACAAUGUGGCAUAGAAAUAAACAUUAUAUCCUGAAUACAAAGUGUUAUGUUUUGGGCAAAUCCAAACACAACACAUCGCCGAGUACCACUCUUCAUAUUUUCAAGCCAAGGUGUUGGCUGAAUCACGUAUGGGUAUGCAAGUCAUCGGCAAGGACUAGGGAAUUUUUUAGGAUAAAAAUAAACAAACUUGAGUUAAUAAGCACAGGCAAAAUCCUUGAGGAAAACCUGGUUCAGUCUGCAUUCCAACAGACUCUGGGAGACAAAUUCACCUUUCAGCAGGACAACAACCUAAAACACAAGGUCAAAUAUACACUGGAGUUGCUUUCCAAGAAAAUGUAAUUCAGUUGUUUGGACAUGAUUUGGAAAGGCACACACCUGUCUGUAUAAGGUCCCACAGUUGACAGUGCAUGUCAGACCAAAAACCAAGCCAUGAGGUCGAAGGAAUUGUCCGUAGAGCUCCGAGACAGGAUUGUGGCGAGGCACAGACCAGGGGAAGGGUAGCAAAACAUUUCUGCAGCAUUGAAGGUCCCGAAGAACACAUUGGCUUCCAUCAUUCUUAAAUGGAAGAGGUUUGGAACAUCCACGACUCUUCCUAGAGCUGGCCGCCCGGCCAAACUGAGCAGUCGGGGGAGAAGAGCCUUGGUCAGGGAGGUGACCAAGAACCUGGAAAUAGCUGUGCGACACUCACCAUCCAAACUGACAAAGCUUGAGAGGGUCUGCAGAGAAGAAUGGGAGAAACUCCCCAAAUACAGGUGUGCCAAGCUUGUAGCUUCAUACCCAAGAAGACUAAAGGCUGUAAUCGCUGCCAAAGAUGCUUCAAAAAAGUAAUGAGUAAAGAGUCUGAAUACUUAUGUAUCUCUCUCCCAUCUCUCUGCUCUUUCUCUCCCAUCAGCAAGCCUGUCUUCUAAAAGUGACAGAAAAUAGACAAUUUAAAAAAAAAAUGCGGCGUAAUUAGCUUGGCGCUGCUUCUGGACACGUCCCCUUUAAUCAGGAUCCUUCAUGCCGCCGCAAAAGCCUUCAGGAUGUCACCGUGAUGUUUGUGUUAAAAUGACCUUUCAUAUCAAUGUUCUAAUGUCCUGUUUGUGUGUAAUCAUCAACAUCCUGACUAAUGACACUGCUGUCUCUUAUUAAUUAACGUCCGUGGGAGAGGGAAACUGGUAUUCAUUUUUCCCCUUUUUGCAGGCUUAGGCGUCCCACUGACCUAAGAUGACAAACUUUAUUAUAGAAUGCCAUGCAGCCCUAAGUUCAAACAGUAUAUGUGUAAGGAGCGACGCUGGAGUAGAGAAGCAGGUAUGGGGAGUCAAACAUUUAUUCAGAACAGACAUGGGACAAGACAGAAACAACGUCAGCACACGGGUAUACAAGGACAUUUGACAAUCAAUGCUGAAGCUGGGAACAGACAGAUUUAGGGGAGGUAAUGACUACAGGUUUCUAAAAACCUGUUUUUGCUUUGUCAUUAUGGGGUAUUGUGUGUAGAUUGACGAGGGGAAAAAACAAUUUAGUCAAUUUUAGAAUACGGCAAUAACGUAACAUAACGCCAAAGGGGUCUGAAUACUUUCGGAAUGCACUGUAUGUUGGAUUGACUAUACAUGCUUAUAACCAGUUAUAGAGCAUUUUACAUGCAGGCUAAAGUGGUUACCAAAAUAUUAACUCAAAUGGAUCUGGUGUAUGUCCACUUCCCAGGACUCCAGAGCUUUUCUUUGUCUUUAAUUGAAUAAGCAGGUGAUGAAGUGCAUCUAACAGAUCUCAGAGAGGCAUACAUAUUUUUUAAGGUCAAUACUCUGAUCUCUCUCACUCUUCCUGAAAUUGUGGUUGCUGCUGGUUCCUUCUUAAAACAGUUGUUAAAAAGUGUCAAAGGAGGCUUCUUCAUAUUCAAAUCAAUGAUUUCUCCAAGUAUCAGUUCAAUAAUCCAUUAGUACCAUUCCCAUUUCAAAGAUCACUGCCAAAGCUUGUUGAUUAAAGUGUAUGGGUAGCCGAGCCAUCUGAGCCUGUCGUUUUCAAACAGUCUAAUUUCACAUUGUUUACAGCCAGCAACGUGCAAUUCAUCCACACCCUGAAAACAAAGAAUGAUAAAGAGCAAAUCAGCUCCAUUGGUUAGAUGGUUAAAAAUGGGCGGCGUUGUUUCUUUGGGACUAAUGUCACUUGGCAUUUUCUUUGAUUCAGGAUAAGGUGAUGAAAUAAUACAAAUCUAAAAAAUAUUUCAAAUCUCAAAUAAGUAGUUGUCUUGGUUGAAUCAUCUUCAUUAAAAUUAGCUUUUUAUAAUCCAUUUUCAGAACUAUGAUAACUGAUACUUUACUAUUGUUGAAGUAACAUCUGUCAUGACUUCCCCUCACCAUAGUAGUAUUUCCAUUUAAACCAGUGUCAUUUCAGCUCUGCCUUCAAUUCAUGUGACUGAAAUAGUCUUUGGCUCUCCUCUCUUUGUCAUCUUUCACAUGGCUAAUCCUUCAACUUAGUACAUUAUUCCGUCGCUCAUUUAUCAUACUUCUGGCAGAUUACAUCAUGUCACACCUUAGAAAAAGGUGCUCCCACCGUUUUGUCUUUGUCAUGUUCCAGACAAUCCCCCUUUUCCGUUUCUACUCAAGUAGUCCUUGAGAUGGAUUGCUACCUCUUUGCCGCAUAGUUAACUUUAAGGUGUCAGAGUAAGACUCUAAGGAGGGCCCCUUUGUCUCUGAUAGCUGCCAGCGUAGACAGACACUUCUUAGUGAAUUCAUUAAACAUGUGAAUGCUAAUUGCUAGCAUUCAAUAAAGAUUGUUUGCCCCUAGGGUGCAAAAUGAGAUGCACAGUUCAAUUGAAAAUCUUUACUAAUCUUUACUGACACUGGCAAUUUAGAAAGCUGGGUGUGGCAGAUUACCUGGCUGUUAGGGAGGAUCGCUUGACCUCGAAAAAAGAAGGUAGCGAAAGAGAGAGAGAGAGGGAGGGAGAGUGAGAAUGAGAGAGAGAGGGGGCGAAGUAGAGGGAGAGAGAGAUUGAUAGAGGGAGUAAGAGGGAGAUAGAGGUGGAAGGAGAGAGAGGGAGAGAGAGAGGGAGUAAGAGGGCGAUAGAGGUGGAAGGAGAGAGAGGGAGAGAGAGAGGGAGUAAGAGGGAAAGAGAGGUGGAAGGAGAGAGGGAGAGAAAGGGAGAGGGAGAGAGAAAUGGAAAGGGAGAGGGAGAGAGAAAUGUAAGGAGAGAGGGAGAGAAAGGGAGAGGGAGAGAGAAAUGGAAGGAGAGAGGGAGAGAGGGAGAGGGAGAGAGAAAUGGAAGGAGAGAGGGAGAGAAAGGGAGAGGGAGAGAGAAAUGGAAGGAGAGAGGGAGAGAAAGGGAGAGGGAGAGAGAAAUGGAAGAAGAGAGGGAGAGAAAGGGAGAGGGAGAGAAAUGGAAGGAGAGAGAGGGAAAGAGAGCGGAGGAGAAAGAGAAAGAUGGAGAGAGAAAAAGAUUACAUUGAUUUGAUGAGUAAAUCGAUAUGGUCAAAGAUGACUGAGUACUGUGUCUCAGUAAACUGGCAUGGCACUAUGAGGGAAUCUAGCGAACACUUUUGAUUGACCAACAAUAAUGCUGACACCUCUUUGUCUCGUUGCUAUUUCCUCCUAUUGGUCCUUUUGUUUAGAGGUAUGGAUGGAUAACCCCUCCCACAUUCCCUUUCUGUCUGGGCGUCCAUGUUGUUUUAAAAUGAAUGCCCCAAACAUGGGAGAGGGUGGGUGGGAAAUAUAUUCCAACACUCCAUGUAUUGACAGUAGAGUUUGACCAUGUGAUUUACUCUCAGCACGUAAUAAUUGCAUCAUAGACCAGUUUUAUUCUUCUUUAUGGUUCUUGCUCAAUGACCUGAGACUUAUUUGAUUUAACAUCAAAAGAGAUCUAAGACAGCUAGCUACUGAGAGAGGUUUUAGUAAUCACUCACAGCUUUCACAGACUAGAUGGGUCUUGUUGUGUUAUCUAGUUUUGUAAUCACUCACAGCUUUCACAGACUAGAUGGGUCUUAUUUUACGAUGUUGUUUUGUAAUCACUCACAGCUUUCACAGACUAGAUGGGUCUUGUUGUGUUAUCUAGUUUUGUAAUCACUCACAGCUUUCACAGACUAGAUGGGUCUUGUUUUACGAUGUUGUUUUGUAAUCACUCACAGCUUUCACAGACUAGAUGGGUCUUGUUUUACGAUGUUGUUUUGUAAUCACUCACAGCUUUCACAGACUAGAUGGGUCUUGUUUUACGAUGUUGUUUUGUAAUCACUCACAGCUUUCACAGACUAGAUGGGUCUUGUUUUACGAUGUUGUUUUGUAAUCACUCACAGCUUUCACAGACUAGAUGGGUCUUGUUUUACGAUGUAGUUUUGUAAUCACUCACAGCUUUCACAGACUAGAUGGGUCUUGUUUUAUGAUGUCGUUUUGUAAUCACUCACAACUUUCACAGACUAGAUGGGUCUUGUUUUACGAUGUUGUUUUGUAAUCACUCACAGCUUUCACAGACUAGAUGGGUCUUGUUUUACAAUGUUGUUUUGUAAUCACUCACAGCUUUCACAGACUAGAUGGGUCUUGUUGUGUUAUCUAGUUUUGUAAUCACUCACAGCUUUCACAGACUAGAUGGGUCUUGUUGUGUUAUCUAGUUUUGUAAUCACUCACAGCUUUCACAGACUAGAUGGGUCUUGUUUUACAAUGUUGUUUUGUAAUCACUCACAACUUUCACAGACUAGAUGGAUCUUGUUUUAUGAUGUUGUUUUGUAAUCACUCACAGCUUUCACAGACUAGAUGGGUCUUGUUUUACGAUGUUGUUUUGUAAUCACUCACAACUUUCACAGACUAGAUGGGUCUUGUUUUAUGAUGUCGUUUUGUAAUCACUCACAACUUUCACAGACUAGAUGGGUUUUAUUUUACGAUGUUUUGUAAUCACUCACAGCUUUCACAGACUAGAUGGGUCUUGUUUUACGAUGUAGUUUUGUAAUCACUCACAACUUUCACAGACUAGAUGGGUCUUAUUUUACGAUGUUUUGUAAUCACUCACAACUUUCACAGACUAGAUGGGCCUUAUUUUACGAUGUUUUGUAAUCACUCAAAGCUUUUUCCCCUUGAUUGGAACAAGAGAAAUGCCCUCCCACAGAAAAGUGAUGAAAUGACAAAGGACUAUCACAAUGCAAAGUGGCCGGGCUAAACUUUACAUAUUGGUGCCUUGGGAAUGCUAUGCUCUACUUCCCAACCUGGUGCAUAAACGGUUUGGACCCUUUCCCUGCCCAGUACUCCAACCCACCUUGUAAACCAAGACACCACUCUGUUUUUCAAUCUGCUCUUCCCACACAUUUUGACAUUUCCUCAUCUCCUCUCUUUAACGCGAUGCCCCCUGUAGGAUUGAUAUCACGGCAAUCCUACCAGAUACUGUAGCCUGUGCCUCAAAUGGCACCCUAUUCCUUACAAAGUGCACUACUUUUGACCAGAGCCCUCUGCGCCUGGAAAAAAAAGGGAAUAUGAUGCUAUUUGGAAUGUAGCCAUAGUCUCCCCUGCCAUCUGCCUAGGAGGGGAAGUGCUCUGCCAGCACCUACCUGCCACUAACAGCAGGUGUUAGGAGAUUAAGGCCAACAAAACUGCUGUCCUCUGGGGAGGCAGGCUUAUGCUGCUUCGGCCAACUUUAUUUUCUGGAUUUUAUUUGACUUCCAUGCAUGAUUUCAAUUUGUUAGUGAUGGAUUAAUGAUGAGGAUAUUAGAUAUCUUCUAGGACAUGGUUGGGAGAUUUUAAAGAUGAAAUAGUAUUGAAAAGUUUCUCUUAUUUUUGUAAUGUUUACAGUAUGUUGCCUCGGUAACACAGAAACACACAUAACCCGUGAAGAUCAAAGCCUCAUUACAAUAGACUUCCUUUCUGGACAAUGUCUCUACAUGCCCCUAUGUGGACCUGCACUAGAUAGACCUUUAGGACGUCAUGUGCGGACAACUCAGAGGAGAUUUAAUUUAGCGCUGUGCACCGCUGAUAGGACUGCUGUCUGUGUUCUGCAACUAACACUUCACCCAGUACAGUACAGCUCGUCAGUGACUCCGAUCUCCAGAUUACACUAACAGUACUGUAGUUCCUUAGAACCCACUACUCCCUCCCCAGUGAUGAUGUCACACGUUUGCCUGCCUGACAUUAUUUCAGUGCUGCUGAGUGUCUUUGUGUCAAAGUCUCCCCAGAAUUGGUCCUAAGUGCACCAACCGCCUCCUCAUCAUCCUCCCAGCUCCGUUUUUCUUCUUCUAAAUCUUAUAACAGUUUAGUUUAAAAGCUUCUGGCACGGCUUUUCCCUCCAGACUGAUGUUUUAAUCGUGAAGUAAGAACUAGACGGCUGCAACCUGUCUUCGCUCAGGAGUUCACUCAAACGAACCUCACACCAGGAAGGAAUAUGCUACACCGUUGCUCUGGCAGAUUGUGGUUAGAUGGGGUAAUGUUGUUACUAUACAUACACCACACACACACACACACACACACACACACACACACACACACACACACACACACACACACACACACACACACACACACACACACACACACACACACACACACACACACAAACACAAAAA